rnacentral:rRNA from 1 species
UACGGAGGGUGCAAGCGUUAUCCGGAUUCACUGGGUUUAAAGGGAGCGUAGGUGGGUCUGCAAGUCAGUUGUGAAAUCUCCGAGCUUAACUCGGAAAGGUCAACUGAUACUGCUCGGCUAGAGUGCGGAAGGGGCAACUGGAAUUCUUGGUGUAGCGGUGAAAUGCGUAGAUAUCAAGAGGAACACCUGCGGCGAAGGCGGGUUGCUGGGCCGACACUGACGCUGAGGCGCGAAAGCUAGGGGAGCGAACGGG